rnacentral:rRNA from 1 species
CCAGAGUUUGAUCCUGGCUCAGGACGAACGCUGGCGGCGUGCUUAACACAUGCAAGUCGAACGGUGACCUCGAGAGCUUGCUCUUGAGUGAUCAGUGGCGAACGGGUGAGUAACACGUGAGUAACCUACCCCUGACUCUGGAAUAACAAUUGGAAACAGUUGCUAAUACCGGAUACGACACGAGCGGGCAUCCGCAUCGUGUGGAAAGUUUUUCGGUCUGGGAUGGACUCGCGGCCUAUCAGCUUGUUGGUGAGGUAAUGGCUCACCAAGGCGACGACGGGUAGCCGGCCUGAGAGGGCGACCGGCCACACUGGGACUGAGACACGGCCCAGACUCCUACGGGAGGCAGCAGUGGGGAAUAUUGCACAAUGGGCGAAAGCCUGAUGCAGCGACGCCGCGUGAGGGAUGACGGCCUUCGGGUUGUAAACCUCUUUCAGUAGGGAAGAAGCGAAAGUGACGGUACCUACAGAAGAAGCACCGGCUAACUACGUGCCAGCAGCCGCGGUAAUACGUAGGGUGCGAGCGUUGUCCGGAAUUAUUGGGCGUAAAGAGCUUGUAGGCGGUUUGUCGCGUCUGCUGUGAAAAUCCGGGGCUCAACCUCGGACUUGCAGUGGGUACGGGCAGACUAGAGUGUGGUAGGGGAGACUGGGAUUCCUGGUGUAGCGGUGAAAUGCGCAAAUAUCAGGAGGAACACCGAUGGCGAAAGCAGGUCUCUGGGCCACUACUGAC